AACGCUGGCGGCGUGCUUAACUCAUGCAAGUCGAACGGUGAAGCGCCUUCCUUUUUGGUGGGUGUGGAUGAGUGGCGAACGGGUGAGUAACACGUGAGUAACCUGCCUCCUUCUUCUGGAUAACCGCAUGAAAGUGUGGCUAAUACGGGAUAUUCUGGGUCUGUCGCAUGAUGGGUCUGGGAAAGAUAUUGUUUCGGUGGGGGAUGGGCUCGCGGCCUAUCAGCUUGUUGGUGGGGUGAUGGCCUACCAAGGCGGUGACGGGUAGCCGGCCUGAGAGGGUGGACGGUCACACUGGGACUGAGACACGGCCCAGACUCCUACGGGAGGCAGCAGUGGGGAAUAUUGCACAAUGGGCGCAAGCCUGAUGCAGCGACGCCGCGUGAGGGAUGGAGGCCUUCGGGUUGUGAACCUCUUUCGCCAGUGAAGCAGGCCUGCCUCGUUUGUGGGUGGGUUGACGGUAGCUGGAUAAGAAGCGCCGGCUAACUACGUG
rnacentral:rRNA from 1 species